CUCGCAUAACCUUUCUCCCUCCACGCGUUGUACACAGCAAAACCUAGCUCCAUUUAUGCAAAUCCCCUGAACAGCACUGCACGUUUCAGAGAGUUCAGACAAUGAAAGCAACAUCACGUUCCUCUCUCUUUGGUUUCAAAUUUCAAAUUCUCCUUUAGUUUCAUCUUCCACACACUCUGUCACUCUAUCUCUCACUAUCUAUCUAUCUAUCUAUCGAAAUUUCCUUCCAAUUCCAUUUCUAAAAACACCAAAACCUAUGGUAGGAGGAAGAAGAUGACCGAGAUUCAAGAAUUUGGAGGAAAUAAAGCUACUUAUUGAAGAACUGAAGAAGAUUUUGGUUAUACUCAUAAAGGUGUUUUUUGAAAAAAAUAACCUAUGAGUGGCCAUGAAGUUGUUCUCGAGUUUUAUGCAUCAGCCAUCAAGUUUACAGAAAUCCAAGAAGAUUGAUGAACUUUCUUGAGUAUGUUGCUCAUUCUCAAUGUUUGAAUCUAUGAUCUUUCUUUACUUUGUUGGAUGGUAAAUUGAUUUUGCUUGAUUUUGAAUCUAUUUUGUUGAUUUUGAUUGCUGACAACUGUUUGGAAAACCUGCAGUCUUUUCUAUAUACCUAUAAUUACAUAACAUUAUUAGUCUUUUAUUUAUUUUUUAAUUGCAAUCAGGUUAAAAAAAUUCUGAUUUUUUUUUUGCAGCCACACAAUAAUGAAGAGGUUUGGUUUCUUUCCCUUUGCCACAUGUGGAUAGACAUCAGCCAUUAAUUAGGAAUAAUGACUGUUAGUUUGAUUUAAUCUAUUAGAUAUGCCUUAUUAGUAGGAAAUUUUAGUUAGUGCUUCAUUUGCAUGAACAAACCUUCCUAUUAUUUUUUAACCAUAAACACAUAAGUUGAUAAUUUCAAAAUUAGCCUUUGUUGAUAUAUAACACCUUAUUGAAAAGGAACUAAUAUGCAUCAGCUCUAUUUUGGAGGUUGUGGUUUAAUUUCAUGCCUUGAGUGAUCAUAACAUGAUUUAUUAUUGAGAGUACUUUGUCAGUUAAAAUGAUUUAUAUAUAUGGAAUGAUUUGCACCAGUGUAUCUUAUAAUAAGAUUUGAAUCAUGUCUUUCAUAAACUUGAUUACGGUUCCUUUUACAGGUUCUACUAACCGAAAUUAAUUCAAGGUUUUUCAUUUUACUUGAGAAGAGACUUUUGGUUUGGAAAAAGGUUUUGCUACACCGCUGCUACAAAUAUCAGCUACAACUGCAGAAGUGAGAUAUGAUGGAGUUUGAAUGGUCACAUUUAGUUCAAUUGAACUUUUUUUUGGCUUUGUGAGUUUAUGUUAACCUCAAACAGUCACAAAGAUGAGCAUUUGAAUUCACAUGGUUCAAGAAAACUCAUUGAUUGAAAUGCUAUAUUGUUUUUUAUAUGUUGAAUUAGAAUUUUUUAUAAUAUGAUUUUCUUGCUUUUUAUAAUAUAUUUGUUCUGUUAUGCUCCAAUAGGAACAAACUACAAGAUGAAUUACUUUUGUCACAUGUUGUCUCGGAGGGCUACUGUCAUGACUUUUACAAUGGAGAUUAACAUUUGAAUGGUUUCUGUCAUGGAAUUUUAAUAUUGCCAUCAUAAAUAGUUGAAGGGGAGAUUAAUUGAAGAGGAUGAAGGGCGCAUAACUCAAACUAUGAGUGCAUAAUGUAAUUGGUCCUAUCAAGUUUCAAUGAAGAAUUGGAAGUAGAAGGUUAUGAUUAAAUGAGGAUAUCCUUCCUCCACAUGGGGUAAUAAUAGCUUUGGAGAUGCAUGCAUAAGCAAAACAAUUUAAGAAGUACAAGCUCUAAAGGAAAGAGGUAAGAUGAAGGGAGGUUAGAAAGGGAGAUAACACCAACACAAAUUGUUACAGAACAAUGAGAUCAUUUUGAGGACUAUAUAUAGUUUUAUAGUGUGUAUUAUUUGUUUGUUGUAUAACAUAGGGAUUAUUAAAUUAAUGAAUCUAUUUCAAUUAGAAAUGUAAGUUAAGAACUAUUGUUUGAAUUGUAGUGUAAACUCUAAAUUGUCUAGAAUAUGAAGAAUAAAUCACUUUCUUUUCUGA